CCGGCUCAGGAUGAACGCUGGCGGCGUGCCUAAUACAUGCAAGUCGAGCGAACAGACGAGGAGCUUGCUCCUCUGACGUUAGCGGCGGACGGGUGAGUAACACGUGGAUAACCUACCUAUAAGACUGGGAUAACUUCGGGAAACCGGAGCUAAUACCGGAUAAUAUAUUGAACCGCAUGGUUCAAUAGUGAAAGACGGUUUUGCUGUCACUUAUAGAUGGAUCCGCGCCGCAUUAGCUAGUUGGUAAGGUAACGGCUUACCAAGGCAACGAUGCGUAGCCGACCUGAGAGGGUGAUCGGCCACACUGGAACUGAGACACGGUCCAGACUCCUACGGGAGGCAGCAGUAGGGAAUCUUCCGCAAUGGGCGAAAGCCUGACGGAGCAACGCCGCGUGAGUGAUGAAGGUCUUCGGAUCGUAAAACUCUGUUAUUAGGGAAGAACAAAUGUGUAAGUAACUAUGCACGUCUGAC
rnacentral:rRNA from 1 species